GUGUCAGCCGCCGCGGUAAUACGGGGGGGGCAAGCGUUGUUCGGAAUUACUGGGCGUAAAGGGUUCGUAGGUGGCCGACUAAGUCAGACGUGAAAUCCCUCAGCUUAACUGGGGAACUGCGUCUGAUACUGGUUGGCUUGAGGACAGGAGAGGAACGCGGAAUUCCAGGUGUAGCGGUGAAAUGCGUAGAUAUCUGGAGGAACACCGGUGGCGAAGGCGGCGUUCUGGACUGUUUCUGACACUGAGGAACGAAAGCCAGGGGAGCAAACGGGAUUAGAAACCCGCGUAGUCC
rnacentral:rRNA from 1 species